rnacentral:tRNA from 1 species
ACCCUCACGAUUUUGAAAGUCGACGGAUUUUCCUCUUACUAUAAAUUUCA